ACUCAAAGGAAUUGACGGGGGCCCGCACAAGCAGCGGAGCAUGUGGUUUAAUUCGAAGCAACGCGAAGAACCUUACCUAGACUUGACAUCUCCUGAAUUACCCUUAAUCGGGGAAGCCCUUCGGGGCAGGAAGACAGGUGGUGCAUGGUUGUCGUCAGCUCGUGUCGUGAGAUGUUGGGUUAAGUCCCGCAACGAGCGCAACCCUUAUCAUUAGUUGCUACCAUUAAGUUGAGCACUCUAGUGAGACUGCCACGGUUAACGUGGAGGAAGGUGGGGAUGACGUCAAAUCAUCAUGCCCCUUAUGUCUAGGGCUACACACGUGCUACAAUGGUGAAUACAAAUAGAUGCAAUACCGCGAGGUGGAGCCAAACUAUAAAAUUCAUCCCAGUUCGGAUUGUAGUCUGAAACUCGACUACAUGAAGCCGGAGUUGCUAGUAAUCGCGAAUCAGCAUGUCGCGGUGAAUACGUUCCCGGGCCUUGUACACACCGCCCGU
rnacentral:rRNA from 1 species